UGGGGAAUAUUGCACAAUGGGCGAAAGCCUGAUGCAGCAACGCCGCGUGAGUGAUGAAGGCCUUCGGGUUGUAAAGCUCUGUCUUUUGGGACGAUAAUGACGGUACCAAAGGAGGAAGCCACGGCUAACUACGUGCCAGCAGCCGCGGUAAUACGUAGGUGGCAAGCGUUGUCCGGAUUUACUGGGCGUAAAGGAUGCGUAGGCGGAUUUUUAAGUGAGAUGUGAAAACCCUAAGCUUAACUUGGGGACUGCAUUUCAUACCGGAAAUCUAGAGUGCGGGAGAGGAGAAUGGAAUUCCUAGUGUAGCGGUGAAAUGCGUAGAGAUUAGGAAGAACACCAGUGGCGAAGGCGAUUCUCUGGACCGUAACUGACGCUGAGGCAUGAAAGCGUGGGUAGCAAAACAGGAUUAGAUACCCUGGUAGUCCACGCCGUAAACGAUGAGUACUAGGUGCAGGAGGUAUCGACCCCUUCUGUGCCGCAGUUAACACAAUAAGUACUCCGCCUGGGAAGUACGAUCGCAAGAUUAAAACUCAAAUGAAUUGACGGGGUCAUAGCUGUUUCCUG
rnacentral:rRNA from 1 species